rnacentral:rRNA from 1 species
CCUACGGGCGGCAGCAGUGAGGAAUAUUGGUCAAUGGACGAGAGUCUGAACCAGCCAAGUAGCGUGAAGGAUGACUGCCCUAUGGGUUGUAAACUUCUUUUAUAUGGGAAUAAAAUGUUCCACGUGUGGGAUUUUGUAUGUACCAUAUGAAUAAGGAUCGGCUAACUCCGUGCCAGCAGCCGCGGUAAUACGGAGGAUCCGAGCGUUAUCCGGAUUUAUUGGGUUUAAAGGGAGCGUAGGUGGAUUGUUAAGUCAGUUGUGAAAGUUUGCGGCUCAACCGUAAAAUUGCAGUUGAAACUGGCAGUCUUGAGUACAGUAGAGGUGGGCGGAAUGCGCGGUGUAGCGGUGAAAUGCUUAGAUAUCACGAAGAACUCCGAUUGCGAAGGCAGUUCACUGGACUGCAACUGACACUGAGGCUCGAAAGUGUGGGUAUCAAACAGGAUUAGAUACCCCAGUAGUC